rnacentral:rRNA from 1 species
CCCUUAGAUGUUCUGGGCGGCCCGCGCACUACAAUGGCGCUUUCAGCGAGUUCCUAUGUUGAAUUUUCCUGGGUAUUCUUGGAAGCGGCGUCUUGACUUGGGAUAGAUCCUUGUAAUUGUUGGUUUUGAACGAGGAAUUCCUUGUAAUCGCGGUUGAUCAGCUCGCGUUGAAUACGUCCCUGUCCUUUGUACACACCGCCCGUCGCUCCUACCGAUGAAUCGUCCGGUGAAGUUCACAGAGUGGCGGUUCGUGGAGUUGCUCGCGAAGUGAAAUGGACCUCACGAUUUAGAGGAAGGAGAAGUCGUAACA